rnacentral:rRNA from 1 species
AUUGAACGCUGGCGGCAGGCUUAACACAUGCAAGUCGAGCGAGCGGCGGACGGGUGAGUAAUGUCUGGGAAACUGCCUGAUGGAGGGGGAUAACUACUGGAAACGGUAGCUAAUACCGCAUACCAUCAGAUGUGCCCAGAUGGGAUUAGCUAGUAGGUGGGGUAAUGGCUCACCUAGGCGACGAUCCCUAGCUGGUCUGAGAGGAUGACACGCCAAACUGGAACUGAGAACAGGUCCAGACCCCUACGGGAGGCAGCAGGGGGGAAUAUUGCACAAUUGGGGGAAGCCCGAUGCAGGCAUGCCGCGUGUGGGAAGAAGGCCUUCGGGUUGUAAAGCAAGUUCAGCGAGGAGGCGGUACUCGCAGAAGAAGCAACGGCUAACUCCGGGCCAGCAGGCGCGGGAAUUA